rnacentral:lncRNA from 1 species
GCCACCUGUAAUUAUCAACUGGUUGACCUAGCCACCUGUAAUUAUCAACUGGUUGACCUAGCCACCUGUAAUUAUCAGCUGGUUGACCUAGCCACCUUUAAUUAUCAGCUGGUUGACCUAGCCACCUGUAAUUAUCAGCCGGUUGACCUAGCCACCUGUAAUUAUCAGCCGGUUGACCUAGCCACCUGUAAUUAUCAGCCGGUUGACCUAGCCACCUGUAAUUAUCAGCCGGUUGACCUAGCCACCUGUAAUUAUCAGCCGGUUGACCUAGCCACCUGUAAUUAUCAGCCGGUUGACCUAGCCACCUGUAAUUAUCAGCCGGUUGACCUAGCCACCUGUAAUUAUCAGCCGGUUGACCUAGCCACCUGUAAUUAUCAGCCGGUUGACCUAGCCACCUGUAAUUAUCAGCCGGUUGACCUAGCCACCUGUAAUUAUCAGCUGGUUGACCUAGCCACCUGUAAUUAUCAGCUGGUUGACCUAGCCACCUGUAAUUAUCAGCUGGUUGACCUAGCCACCUGUAAUUAUCAGCUGGUUGACCUAGCCACCUGUAAUUAUCAGCUGGUUGACCUAGCCACCUGUAAUUAUCAGCUGGUUGACCUAGCCACCUGUAAUUAUCAGCCGGUUGACCUAGCCACCUGUAAUUAUCAGCCGGUUGACCUAGCCACCUGUAAUUAUCAGCUGGUUGACCUAGCCACCUGUAAUUACCAGCCGGUUGACCUAGCCACCUGUAAUUAUCAGCUGGUUGACCUAGCCACCUGUAAUUAUCAGCCGGUUGACCUAGCCACCUGUAAUUAUCAGCCGGUUGACCUAGCCACCUGUAAUUAUCAGCCGGUUGACCUAGCCACCUGUAAUUAUCAGCCGGUUGACCUAGCCACCUGUAAUUAUCAGCCGGUUGACCUAGCCACCUGUAAUUAUCAGCCGGUUGACCUAGCCACCUGUAAUUAUCAGCUGGUUGACCUAGCCACCUGUAAUUAUCAGCCGGUUGACCUAGCCACCUGUAAUUAUCAGCUGGUUGACCUAGCCACCUGUAAUUAUCAGCUGGUUGACCUAGCCACCUGUAAUUAUCAGCCGGUUGACCUAGCCACCUGUAAUUAUCAGCCGGUUGACCUAGCCACCUGUAAUUAUCAGCUGGUUGACCUAGCCACCUGUAAUUAUCAGCUGGUUGACCUAGCCACCUGUAAUUAUCAGCUGGUUGACCUAGCCACCUGUAAUUAUCAGCUGGUUGACCUAGCCACCUGUAAUUAUCAGCUGGUUGACCUAGCCACCUGUAAUUAUCAGCUGGUUGACCUAGCCACCUGUAAUUAUCAGCCGGUUGACCUAGCCACCUGUAAUUAUCAGCUGGUUGACCUAGCCACCUGUAAUUAUCAGCUGGUUGACCUAGCCACCUGUAAUUAUCAGCUGGUUGACCUAGCCACCUGUAAUUAUCAGCUGGUUGACCUAGCCACCUGUAAUUAUCAGCUGGUUGACCUAGCCACCUGUAAUUAUCAGCUGGUUGACCUAGCCACCUGUAAUUAUCAGCCGGUUGACCUAGCCACCUGUAAUUAUCAGCCGGUUGACCUAGCCACCUGUAAUUAUCAGCCGGUUGACCUAGCCACCUGUAAUUAUCAGCCGGUUGACCUAGCCACCUGUAAUUAUCAGCUGGUUGACCUAGCCACCUGUAAUUAUCAGCUGGUUGACCUAGCCACCUGUAAUUAUCAGCUGGUUGACCUAGCCACCUGUAAUUAUCAGCUGGUUGACCUAGCCACCUGUAAUUAUCAGCUGGUUGACCUAGCCACCUGUAAUUAUCAGCUGGUUGACCUAGCCACCUGCAAUUAUCAGCCGGUUGACCUAGCCACCUGUAAUUAUCAGCCGGUUGACCUAGCCACCUGUAAUUAUCAGCCGGUUGACCUAGCCACCUGUAAUUAUCAGCCGGUUGACCUAGCCACCUGUAAUUAUCAGCAGGUUGACCUAGCCACCUGUAAUUAUCAGAUGGUUGACCUAGCCACCUGUAAUUAUCAGCUGGUUGACCUAGCCACCUGUAAUUAUCAGCUGGUUGACCUAGCCACCUGUAAUUAUCAGCUGGUUGACCUAGCCACCUGUAAUUAUCAGCUGGUUGACCUAGCCACCUGUAAUUAUCAGCUGGUUGACCUAGCCACCUGUAAUUAUCAGCUGGUUGACCUAGCCACCUGUAAUUAUCAGCUGGUUGACCUAGCCACCUGUAAUUAUCAGCUGGUUGACCUAGCCACCUGUAAUUAUCAGCUGGUUGACCUAGCCACCUGUAAUUAUCAGCCGGUUGACCUAGCCACCUGUAAUUAUCAGCCGGUUGACCUAGCCACCUGUAAUUAUCAGCCGGUUGACCUAGCCACCUGUAAUUAUCAGCCGGUUGACCUAGCCACCUGUAAUUAUCAGCUGGUUGACCUAGCCACCUGUAAUUAUCAGCUGGUUGACCUAGCCACCUGUAAUUAUCAGCUGGUUGACCUAGCCACCUGUAAUUAUCAGCUGGUUGACCUAGCCACCUGUAAUUAUCAGCAGGUUGACCUAGCCACCUGUAAUUAUCAGCUGGUUGACCUAGCCACCUGUAAUUAUCAGCUGGUUGACCUAGCCACCUGUAAUUAUCAGCUGGUUGACCUAGCCACCUGUAAUUAUCAGCUGGUUGACCUAGCCACCUGUAAUUAUCAGCUGGUUGACCUAGCCACCUGUAAUUAUCAGCUGGUUGACCUAGCCACCUGUAAUUAUCAGCUGGUUGACCUAGCCACCUGUAAUUAUCAGCCGGUUGACCUAGCCACCUGUAAUUAUCAGCUGGUUGACCUAGCCACCUGUAAUUAUCAGUUGGUUGACCUAGCCACCUGUAAUUAUCAGCUGGUUGACCUAGCCACCUGUAAUUAUCAGCUGGUUGACCUAGCCACCUGUAAUUAUCAGCUGGUUGACCUAGCCACCUGUAAUUAUCAGCCGGUUGACCUAGCCACCUGUAAUUAUCAGCUGGUUGACCUAGCCACCUGUAAUUAUCAGCUGGUUGACCUAGCCACCUGUAAUUAUCAGCUGGUUGACCUAGCCACCUGUAAUUAUCAGCUGGUUGACCUAGCCACCUGUAAUUAUCAGCUGGUUGACCUAGCCACCUGUAAUUAUCAGCCGGUUGACCUAGCCACCUGUAAUUAUCAGCUGUUGUCAAAGCCGAAAUGA